ACUUGAUCUCAAAUCAGAUAAGAGUACCCGCUGAACUUAAGCAUAUCAAUAAGCGGAGGAAAAGAAACUAACAAGGAUUCCCUUAGUAACGGCGAGUGAAGCGGGAAGAGCUCAAAUUUGAAAUCUUCAAGGUUCUACCUUGACGAAUUGUAGUUUAAAGAAGUGUUUUCUGUUAGAUGAGUAGCAAAAGUUCCUUGGAAUGGGACAUCAUAGAGGGUGAGAAUCCCGUAUUUGGUUAUUCAUUCUAGCUUUGUGAUACACUUUCAAAGAGUCGGAUUGUUUGGGAAUGCAGUCCAAAAUGGGUGGUAAAUUUCAUCUAAAGCUAAAUAUUGGCGAGAGACCGAUAGCGAACAAGUACCGUGAGGGAAAGAUGAAAAGAACUUUGAAAAGAGAGUUAAACAGUACGUGAAAUUGUCAAAAGGGAAGCGUUUGACACCAGUGUUGUUUUUCCGAAAAUCAAUUACGAAUGGCUUGAUUUUGUGUUGUAUUGACCUUAUCAGCUUUCUUCACUUUUUUCGAGUCUUUCUUAAUGCACUUUUCGGUUAACAAGUCAACAUCAAUUUCUUUUGUUGUAAAAGAGUAUUCGGAAGGUGGCUUUCUUUUCGGAGAAAGUGUUUAUAGCCCUAUACUUCUACAAUCGGAGAGAUUGAGGUCUGCAGCGUAGAUCCUUCGGGGUUAGAUACAUUUGUGCUAAGUUGUAGCUUUUCAUAGACAACUUGUUGACUAUGUUUAGUCGUGCGGCUUACUCGCUUAUGCUAUUUUACCUACGCUUAGGAUGUUGACAAAAUGGUUUUAAACGACCCGUCUUGAAACACGGACC
rnacentral:rRNA from 1 species